rnacentral:rRNA from 1 species
UACGAAGGGGGCUAGCGUUGCUCGGAAUCACUGGGCGUAAAGCGCACGUAGGCGGCUUGUUAAGUCAGGGGUGAAAUCCUGGAGCUCAACUCCAGAACUGCCUUUGAUACUGGCGAGCUUGAGUCCGGGAGAGGUGAGUGGAAUUCCGAGUGUAGAGGUGAAAUUCGUAGAUAUUCGGAAGAACACCAGUGGCGAAGGCGACUCACUGGACAUGUAUUGACGCUGAGGUGCGAAAGCGUGGGGAGCAAACAGG